GCGUCAUUACUGGAUACGCGCCACGAACUACGUAUAUCAAUGGUGGAAUUUUAUGUGGUUAUUGAUUGAUUCGAAAGAAGUUUACAAAACACAAAAAUUAUUUUAAUUUCUUGUAACUAUUUUUUAAACGAUCAAAGUAUAAAUGAAAUAAUUUUUUAAACAAUCUCCAGCUGGAACAACAGAUAAUACGGAAGUAGAGUACAAGGAAGUUGGAAAAAAUUUAGUAACUAGUUCUAGAAAGUGUGUAGUUACACACACAAGUAUAUGUGAAGUUUAUAUCCAUGCAUGGUUGUGGUUUGCUUUGUUUUAAGAUUCCUCAAUUUCUGUGACAAUUGUGUAACCUUUAUAGAUUAUGUGUUCAUUUCAUGACCGUGUCACUUUUGACAUAUGUAUGAAAAUAAGCUGAUAUUACAGACAAUGAACAUUAUAUUACAUUAUAUUACAUACAAUUUAAAUACAAUGCGUAUUCACUUUGUACAGUAACAUAUCUCUAAUAACAAUUAUUUAUAGAAUAUAUAUGUAUGUAUGUACAUACAUAAUGUACAUAUGUCAACGUUAAAAGACGUCAAUUUCAAUGAAUAAUAAUGCUGCAUCAUCACAAUGACAUAAUAACAAUGAAUUUGAUAAAAAAAUCCUAACAUUUGGCUUCUAAGAAUACACGUAAAUGAUAAUAAUAAAGAUAAUAAAAAAGAAUAUGGAAUAUUUUACGAUACUUUAUAAGCUUUUAGAUUUCCUGUACUAAGUAUCAUUUUAUUUAAGAGAGAUAUAUGUAUAUCAUAAACCAUGUAUAAACGUAUGAAAAGAUCAUAGAAUGUUAAAAACUUGUUCAUCGAUAUCAAUAAAGCUGAACAUAUUUAUUCUUUUAA